CAGCUGUAAGGGAUAGAUUCGAAGGUGCUAAUAUCCUGCUAACAAGAAAUGGAAGUAUAGAAGACUCCACACGAAGAAUGGAAAAAACAAUAAAGAAAAUCAAAGUGUUAUUCGAAGCGAAUGAUGAAAUCAUCAGGAUUUUGAGUACAGAAUUAGGAUGGCAGAUUCUCAUAAUUUUAACAAGAAAUAUAGCUGCUUUUCUAUGGUUUAUCGAUGGUUUCAUGACAAAUUCAUUGAACAAUUCAUAUGACUUAAUUUUGACUUGUGUACUAUCACUUAGUAUAAUAAUGGUAAUUUUGCCAGAUUUUUUUAAUAUCCCGAAAUGAGGAAAACACUGACGUAAAGAUAGAGUCAUCAUAGCGCCAAUUGUGCCCUUGAAUAUCGCAGCAAUGUUGAUAGGUCAACACUCUCACCAUAAUUUACAGCUGUCAUUCUGCAAAUAAGAAAGCUGAGAAAUUACGCUACAACUGUAAAAACCUUGAAAAAAAGUUCAACCCUCUUAGCUAUGAGGCAAAAGAAUUGAAAUUUCUAUCAAUGCAUCUCGAGUAUAGAUCAAUGUUUUCCUGUGCAGGUUUCUUCCAUGUCAACAGCCACACCCUUUUCAAUUUCAUCAGUAUCAUGUCAACUUAUCUUGUAAUCAUAAUUCAAUUCAACUUGGGAAUUAAUCGAUCUCCUAUCGAAGGUUUUUGAAGGGAGAAAGUUAGGAAAAUCAUAUAUAUUCAAUGUUAUCAAUCAAUCAGUUAUAGUCAAUGUAGGUUUUGGUACUGUGUCCCUACGCACAGGAGUUCUAGAAUAGUAAGCAAAUCACUCAAAAUUGAAAUAUUGGAACGUUAUAUUUUUCAAUAUGCUAAUUGACAUAGAUAUUAAAUGAUAAAUAAAUCUGCCGCUAUGAU